AGCGAACGCUGGCGGCAGGCUUAACACAUGCAAGUCGAGCGGGCACCUUCGGGUGUCAGCGGCAGACGGGUGAGUAACACGUGGGAACGUACCCUUCGGUUCGGAAUAACGCUGGGAAACUAGCGCUAAUACCGGAUACGCCCUUAUGGGGAAAGGUUUACUGCCGAAGGAUCGGCCCGCGUCUGAUUAGCUAGUUGGUGGGGUAACGGCCUACCAAGGCGACGAUCAGUAGCUGGUCUGAGAGGAUGAUCAGCCACACUGGGACUGAGACACGGCCCAGACUCCUACGGGAGGCAGCAGUGGGGAAUAUUGGACAAUGGGCGCAAGCCUGAUCCAGCCAUGCCGCGUGAGUGAUGAAGGCCUUAGGGUUGUAAAGCUCUUUUGUCCGGGACGAUAUGACGGUACCGGAAGAAUAAGCCCCGGCUAACUUCGUG
rnacentral:rRNA from 1 species